AUUGAACGCUGGCGGCAGGCUUAACACAUGCAAGUCGAGCGAGCGGCGGACGGGUGAGUAAUGUCUGGGAAACUGCCUGUUGGAGGGGGAUAACUACUGGAAACGGUAGCUAAUACCGCAUACCAUCGGAUGUGCCCAGAUGGGAUUAGCUAGUAGGUGGGGUAAAGGCUCACCUAGGCGACGAUCCCUAGCUGGUCUGAGAGGAUGACCAGCCACACGGGAACUGAGACACGGUCCAGACACGUACGGGAGGCAGAAGUGGGGAAUAUUGCACAAGGGGCGCAAGCCUGAUGCAGACAUGACGCGUGUAUGAAGAAGGCCUUAGGGUUGUAAAGUACUUUCAGCGGGGAGGCGUUACCCGCAGAAGAAGCACCGGCUAACUCCGUGCCAGGAGCCGCGGUAAUAC
rnacentral:rRNA from 1 species